GUAUCGUUAGCUCAGUUGGUAGAGCAGUUGACUUUUAAUCAAUUGGUCGCAGGUUCGAAUCCUGCACGACCCACCA
rnacentral:tRNA from 3 species